ensembl:lncRNA
CUCUGUCGUCUCACUUUCUCUCUCCUCCCACCUCUGCACACACACACACACACACACACACACACACAUACACACCCACCCCGGAGUCCUUCCCACUCCUUCCCCUCACGCGCGCUUUCUAUCCACUUCCAAGCUCGGUUUUAUUCCUCCUUUUUUCUUUUACUCGCCACUCUUUGCCUGGGUCGCGUCCUCGUGUUCGGAGGCGCCGUCACCCCUCCCCUGCAUGGCGCCCCUGAGAAAACGCAGGCCAUGGAUUGUCCCCGCCUAAUGACAAACUGCUUGUCCUUUCCCGUCAGCGUUUUUUUUCUAUUCUUUUGCAGUAAUUUUUUUGUCAGAGCUUGACCUCUGUUGAGAAAACCCUCUUUUUAUUUUUCAAAAAAAGCAUUUAUGAAGCAGGAAAUGAGGGCUGAAGAAAAGGAAAAGAGUGUCAGAUGAAUGGACAGAGAAAGGGGGACAGAGGCAAAGAAUGAGAGAAUGGAGAGCGUGGUCUGCGAGAGAAAGAGAGAGAGAGAGAGAGAGGUGGGAGAAAGAGUGCCGGUGCUGGCAAGAAAAACAGGAGGGGGAAGAGCAGAGAAGGGGGACCAGUAGGGGAUAAACUUUGGAAGGAGGGACGGCCGGAUAGGAAUCGUCCAAAUCGCAGGGAAAAAGAGGGAAAAGAACAAAACUCUAGAAUGAGAAGAAGCUGGACUUCAUUUCUUUGCGGUCGUAUAUUUUUUUUUCUGGCUCCUUGACAUGAUUUUUCAUCACUUCUCCGAUCACCCUCUCAUUCCUCUGUUGAGGUUCUGAGAGAAGACGUUUUUUAUCAGCACCUGAAGCCGCGGCCGUUACAGACAGCGAGGGGCGGCGAGACGUGAGUAACAGCGGUGACUGAUGAUGUCACAGGCGGCAUCGCGCCGCUUCAGCUGCCCCCCCGUGACCCGGC